CCUACGGGCGGCAGCAGUAGGGAAUAUUGCUCAAUGGGGGAAACCCUGAUGCAGCAACGCCGCGUGGGGGAUGAAGGUUUUCGGCUUGUAAACUCCUUUUGUUAGAGAAGAUGCUGACGGUAUCUAACCAAUAAGCACCGGCUAACUCCGUGCCAGCAGCCGCGGUAAUACGGAGGGUGCAAGCGUUACUCGGGAUCACGGGGCGUAAAGAGGGCGUAGGCGGGAUAGCAAGUCAGAUGUGAAAUCCUCGGGCUUAACCAUAGAACUGCAUUUGAAACUGGUAUUCUAGAGUAUGGGAGGGGUAGGUGGAAUUCUUGGUGUAGGGGUAAAAUCCGUAGAGAUCAAGAGGAAUAC
rnacentral:rRNA from 1 species